rnacentral:rRNA from 1 species
AACGAACGCUGGCGGCGCGUCUUAAACAUGCAAGUCGAACGAUCUGUAGCAAUACAGGGAGUGGCGGACGGGUGAGGAACACGUAGGAAUCUACCUUGAAGAGCGGGACAACUUUGGGAAACCGGGGCUAAUACCGCAUAGUACAGAGAUGUUAAAGGGCUAGCAAUAGUCGCUUCGAGAUGAGCCUGCGGUCUAUCAGCUUGUUGGUGAGGUAAUGGCUCACCAAGGCUACGACGGAUAGCCGGUCUGAGAGGAUGAUCGGCCACACUGGCACUGAGACACGGGCCAGACUCCUACGGGAGGCAGCAGUUAAGAAUCUUGCGCAAUGGGGGAAACCCUGACGCAGCGACGCCGCGUGAAGGAUGAAGGCUUUCGGUU